CAUGUGCUACAUCCGUUAUAAAAAGGAAGCUCUUCUCUCCCUUCUCUCUCUUCCUGUUGGUGGUGCUCAGAGGCUGCCUCUGUGUCUUAUGCUGAUCGACAACAACGUCUCUGUGUACCAGACAGCCUGCAAUGGGCUCAUUUCCAAACCGAUCGCUGGGCACUUCACCCAACACCGGCAAGGACUGAUAUGAGGGAAGGAUCACAGAAGGAGGAUUGGAGGAAACUGGCAGUGUUGGAGCCGUGGUCUGUACCAUCUACAUCAGGCUGAAAAGGAAAUAUAGAGAGUGAAGAUACAGGAAAAUAAGGACCAAAGAAUGAGACUUGAGGGUAAGACAGAUGUGAGGAUAGGAGAGUAUGAUGAGGUUAGUGGAUGUUGGGAGAGUUAGAGUAGGAUGAUAUUGGGUGAUGGUGUCGGGGUCUCACAUAUAGCAACUGGAGUAGGCAAAUAUGUUAGAAAAUGGGGCUGAAGAGUAAAUAAACAAGACUCGGGAAUGCUGGAUGCAUUUUUGUAUACGGACAGUGAAACAAUCAUCAGCAGAGGCAGACUUGGGGAAGAGGGAGAUGAUGCAUGAGGAACCAGGGUCUACAGGAAGUGAUGAGACAUGAUGAGCAAGUCAAUAAGACAGAUAGAUGAAGAAGAAGGAAAGUGAAACCAAAUCAUGGGACCUUCAAGGAAAGGAAGAUGGUAUUUGGGGUGGAAGAAUGGUGGCUGAAUUCAGUGUCACUGAAGGAAGAUGCUGUCCAGCUAAUCUCUUGUCCUGGGGAUACCCAAAUAGGAGAAGAGAGAAGUCAGAGUAUUCAGAGGGAUGCAGAGGGCAAGUGGAUUCUUUCCAGGCUGGGUUUUUACUCAGGCAAUAGGACCUACUGACAUUUUAUGGAAUUAAAAAUCCAGAGGAAUUAUCCAGGGUAUAAUGGGCAGAAUUUGAAAGAAGAAAAGCAGUGCUGGGCAGUGGUGGCACAUACCUUUAACCCCAGCACCUGGAAGGCAGAGACAGGUGAAUCUUUGUGAAACUGAGGCCAGCUAGGUCUACAGAGUGAGUUCCA